UGCUUUUGUCUUCGGAUGAGAGUAUCUUAGUGGCGAACGGGUGAGUAACGCGUUGGUGACCUGCCCCGAAGUGUGGGAUAACAGUUCGAAAGGACUGCUAAUACCACAUACGAUCGCUUGGAUUAGAUGCCUUGCGAUCAAAGGAGUAAUCCGCUUUGGGAGGGACCUGCGUCCCAUCAGCUAGUUGGUAAGGUAAUGGCUUACCAAGGCUAUGACGGGUAGGGGACCUGAGAGGGUGACCCCCCACACUGGCACUGAAACACGGGCCAGACACCUACGGGUGGCAGCAGUAGGGAAUCUUGGACAAUAGGCGAAAGCCUGAUCCAGCAAUGCCGCGUGCACGAUGAAGGUCUUCGGAUUGUAAAGUGCUUUUAGAAGGGAUGAGUAAGGACAGUACCUUCUGAAUAAGCCUCGGCGAACUACGUGCCAGCAGCCGCGGUAAGACGUAGGAGGCAAGCGUUAUCCGGAUUUAUUGGGCGUAAAGCGCGUGCAGGCGGUUUGUAAGUUGGAUGUGAAAUCUCUUGGCUUAACCGGGAGAGGUCGUUCAAAACUACCAGACUGGAGAUUGGUAGAGGAAGGUGGAAUUCCGGGUGUAGUGGUGAAAUGCGUAGAUAUCCGGAGGAACACCAGUGGCGAAAGCGGCCUUCUGGGCCAUUUCUGACGCUAAGACGCGAAAGCUAGGGUAGUAAACGGGAUUAGAGACCCCGGUAAUCCUAGCCGUAAACUAUGUAGACUUGGCGUUGGCGGAGUUAAAUCUGCCAGUGCCGAAGCUAACGCGAUAAGUCUACCGCCUGAGGAUUACGAUCGCAAGAUUAAAACUCAAAGGAAUUGACGGGGCCCGCACAAGCAGCGGAGCGUGUGGUUUAAUUCGACGAUACACGAAGAACCUUACCAAGGUUUGACAUGCAAGUGGUAGUGAACUGAAAAGGGAACGACCCUUCGGGGAGCUUGCACAGGUGCUGCAUGGCUGUCGUCAGCUCGUGUCGUGAGAUGUUCGGUUAAGUCCGCUAACGAGCGCAACCCUCACUGUGUGUUAUAUGUGUCACACGGGACCGCCGGUUUUAAGCCGGAGGAAGGUGGGGAUGACGUCAAGUCAGCAUGGCCUUUAUAUCUUGGGCCACACACACGCUACAAUGGCCAGUACAAUAGGAUGCCAAGCCGCAAGGCGGAGCCAACCCUAAAAGCUGGUCUCAGUUCGGAUUGUAGGCUGCAACUCGCCUGCAUGAAGCCGGAGUUGCUAGUAACCGCAGGUCAGCUAUACUGCGGUGAAUACGUUCCCGGGCCUUGUACACACCGCCCGUCACGUCAUGGGAGCUGGCAACACCUGAAGCCGGUAUUCUAACCGCAAGGAAGAAGCCGUCGAGGGUGGGGUCGGUGACUGGGACGAAGUCGUAACAAGGUA
rnacentral:rRNA from 1 species